rnacentral:lncRNA from 1 species
GAGGCCAAGAAGAAUGUGUUGGUGAAACAGAAGUGACAAACAGGGUUUCCUCAGCAGUGCCCCGGAGCAGGGACUGAGCCAGCCAGCAGAAACAGCUAGUUGUUGUCUGCAGUGAAGAAUAAUUGGAAGCAUGGUGCCUGUUUCUUUUCCUGUGGGAGGAAGUCACAGCAUCUACUUCUGAAUCUGUGC